UACGUAGGGUGCAAGCGUUAAUCGGAAUUACUGGGCGUAAAGCGUGCGCAGGCGGUUUUGUAAGUCAGAUGGGAAAUCCCCGGGCUUAACCUGGGAACUGCGUUUGAAACUACAAGGCUAGAGUGUGGCAGAGGGGGGUGGAAUUCCACGUGUAGCAGUGAAAUGCGUAGAGAUGUGGAGGAACACCGAUGGCGAAGGCAGCCCCCUGGGUUAACACUGACGCUCAGGCACGAAAGCGUGGGGAGCAAACAGG
rnacentral:rRNA from 1 species